rnacentral:piRNA from 1 species
UCAGUUGGUGACACACUUGCUCAGCACAA